rnacentral:rRNA from 1 species
GAUGAACGCUGGCGGCGUGCUUAACACAUGCAAGUCGAACGGAAAGGCCCAAGCUUGCUUGGGUACUCGAGUGGCGAACGGGUGAGUAACACGUGGGUGAUCUGCCCUGCACUUCGGGAUAAGCCUGGGAAACUGGGUCUAAUACCGGAUAGGACGAUGGUUUGGAUGCCAUUGUGGAAAGUUUUUUCGGUGUGGGAUGAGCUCGCGGCCUAUCAGCUUGUUGGUGGGGUAAUGGCCUACCAAGGCGUCGACGGGUAGCCGGCCUGAGAGGGUGUACGGCCACAGUGGGACUGAGAUACGGACCAGACUCCUACGGGAGGCAGCAGUGGGGAAUAUUGCACAAUGGGCGCAAGCCUGAUGCAGCGACGCCGCGUGGGGGAUGACGGCCUUCGGGUUGUAAACUCCUUUCGCUAGGGACGAAGCGUUUUUGUGACGGUACCUGGAGAAGAAGCACCGGCUAACUACGUG